rnacentral:rRNA from 1 species
AGAGUGAACGCUGGCGGUAGGCCUAACACAUGCAAGUCGAACGGCAGCACAGGAGAGCUUGCUCUCUGGGUGGCGAGUGGCGGACGGGUGAGGAAUACAUCGGAAUCUACCUUUUCGUGGGGGAUAACGUAGGGAAACUUACGCUAAUACCGCAUAAGACCUUCGGGUGAAAGCCGGGGACCUUCGGGCCUGGCGCGGAUAGAUGAGCCGAUGUCGGAUUAGCUUGUUGGCGGGUAAAGGCCCACCAAGGCGACGAUCCGUAGCUGGUCUGAGAGGAUGAUCAGCCACACUGGAACUGAGACACGGUCCAGACUCCUACGGGAGGCAGCAGUGGGGAAUAUUGGACAAUGGGCGAAAGCCUGAUCCAGCAAUG